UGAGGAAUAUUGGACAAUGGGCGAAAGCCUGAUCCAGCAAUACCGCGUGUGUGAUGAAGGCCUUCGGGUUGUAAAGCACUUUCAAUAGUGAAGAAAUAUACAGUAUUAAUACCACUGUAGGCUGACGUUAACUAUAGAAGAAGCACCGGCUAACUCUGUGCCAGCAGCCGCGGUAAUACAGAGGGUGCGAGCGUUAAUCGGAAUUACUGGGCGUAAAGAGCGCGUAGGCGGACCACUAAGUCAGAUGUGAAAUCCCUGAGCUCAACUUAGGAAUUGCAUUUGAUACUGGUGGACUAGAGUAUGGUAGGGGAAAGCGGAAUUUCCGGUGUAGCGGUGAAAUGCAUAGAUAUCGGAAGGAACACCAGAGGCGAAGGCGGCUUUCUGGGCCAAUACUGACGCUGAGGCGCGAAAGCGUGGGGAGCAAACAGG
rnacentral:rRNA from 1 species